ensembl:lncRNA
AAAACUUUUAUUUUGGAUGCGAUUAAUUGCGAUUAGCAGCACAAUAACAUAUUUGUUUUGACAAGUCACCUAACAUAACAUACAUUACAUAAAUUAUUUUCAAAAUCAGCUUUUCCUUACAUUUUUCCAAACAACAUCUUCCAAAACCAAGACAUAUAAUGUAUUAUUAUUAUUAUUAUUAUUAUUAUUAUUAUUAUUAUUAUUACAUAUAUUUUUUAAUUUGCAUGGUUCUAAAUUCAGAAAGUCUGUGCUUAAAGGAAAUCCCCAGUUCCCCCACUGGUGAUUAUAACAUUGUUGUGGCUCAUGUUGUAAAUAUGGUCGUUCUUACAUGAUUUGAAGGCAACAUUAGUACUUUUUUUAUCAGUACAUAAUUCUUUCAGUAGUGUGUGAAACCUAGUGUACAUAUAAAACAUUCCUUCACAGGGCAUUUUUGUACUUUUGAUGUUUUUUUUCUAUCCACCACUUUAGCUGGCAAAGCAGAUGGUGUUGAUUUAAAUGUAGCCACUCUGUCUGCCACUGAGUAUUACCCUUGGAUAGCAUGAUUGAGGAGGUUACACGUAUAGUCUUCCAAACGUUCUCAUGUGUUUGUACUAAAAUGUGAUUCUCGUGUCACUGAAGAAAUGCAUUUAGAGACUCUGAAAUGCACUUUGGGUAACAUUGCAAUUAGUGCUUAAGUAUAAAGUACUGUAUUAAUUCAGUGAGGCCUAUAGACUCAUCUCACAGUGGACUACGAUGCAAUAGAAGCUAAUUGCAAGGAAAACAUUAUUAUUACAUUAUUAUUAUUUUUAUUAAACUGGUAAGCUUUUCCACCUUUUGUUACCAGUGCUAAUGAAGCCAAUUUGUGUGUAGAAGUGUUUGCGACAGCCUACUGUACAUUGAAUGCUGAUUAGCAUUUGAUGGAUUUGUUGUUUCUUUAUAUGCAUGUUUGAUGUGACUUAACUACAAAUCUAUAGAUAAUCUCUACUUAACUACAAAUCUAUAGAUAGCCUGCAUUCUUAAUCUAGAAGCUUUUAGAGAUACUGUGAAUAGGUGAGCUUGCACUCUUCAGAUGUGGAAGUUUCCUUGUAGGACUGAUUCAGAAUCAACUUCGUACACCAGAUACCUUCAUAAAGUGGCUGAGAAACCAGAGAUCUAGAGUAAAGGUACAGCAGCUGUGAAGUAAAAGUGCUGAACCGAGAUCAGGUUUUACCUUCUAUAUCUACAUCAACAUAAAUAUCUGCUAGAUAGGAGCAGAUCCUUUUACAGUUAAAUUAUUUAAGAUGUUUGAACAUGAUUACAUAUUACUGGUGAAGUGCUAACUUUUGUUACACAAGCCAAUAACUGCCGAUGCACCUGCUGAACACCUCUUGAACAUGCUAGUGCUUUACUAGUAACCCAGUUAGUGCCUACAGUACUUAUUCAUUCUAAACAUUUAUUAUUUUUGCUCACCUUUUUGUCUUGGUAGUGCGCUUUUGCCUUCCAGUGACUUGCUUUAUGUUGUUUGCUUUUGUAUGUACAUAUGAAAAUCAAACAUUAUAAAAUGUGAUCUAUUAGCAAAAGCAUAUAACUGUUUUGGGAGUUUUAGAUGUGUAACAUACUUUUACAAUUGCAGAUCUUUACAUGUCAUGUUUUACUUGUGACUUGCAUAACUUUUCCAACAGUGUUACCAAAGACUACCAUAAAUCAAUAAAGUUUAUGUUUCUGUUUUACAAGCCAGAUUUUGUAAGCGUAGUAACAAACAGCAUGUUUUAUAAAGGAAAUAUGUAAAAUGUUUUGUAAUACAUAUAGGCUAAAUCAGAUUUGGGGGAAUUGGUGACUAAAAAUAGUAAUAUUACUAAUUUUUCAUUCAUGGCAAGUAACGGGGCAUAACAUUGAGGCCUG